rnacentral:lncRNA from 1 species
UCGUUAUUGUAUCGGGAAUUGCUGAAUUAGUAACCUUAGUAUUUAAGAGGCUUGUAGUCUUGCACUGAUUUCGAGCAAACUGGAUAUUUUUGCCCUUCAAAUUUAUUCUUUCUCCAAUAAAAUAAUUAUAUAUCCAAAGGAAAAACAAUUUGUUGAUCAUAUGUCACUGACGUGCAAGCUCCUACUAACAUACAAGGAAGCCUUCCAAUACAUUGCAGCUGAAGAUGACUAAGAUGUAUAUCAGCCACAACUAUCAAAAUUUUAUUACCAAGAUAGUCUUUUCAUAAUCAACUCCCAUGAUAUUCUAAUUGUAACGACUGUUCAUAAAUUUAUGAUUUUUGCAUCUACUUACUCUGUUCUACUUAAAUGCAAUCCUACCUGAGACCUAAGACUCAAUCUCCAUAGUUUAUGUUUUACAUAAGAUCCAGUGGACUUCUAGAUUUCUUAGAUCAAUCUAAUCUAAUAAUCCUACCUAUCCAUCUUAAGUUGGCUUUUAUUUGGAGAGCUUGUGCCUUGCUUGAGGUGUUCGUCCUUGAAGUGUAGAUCCACAAGAAGAAAUAAUUAGAGAACCUAAAUAAAUAAGUCCGCACACAUGUGCACACGCACACACAUGCGCAUAGCCACACACAGAUACGCAAAAAAAAAAGGAUGAAUUAGUGAUCAGAGAAAGGAGAUUGACUAAUUGGAGGUUAGGGAGAAAGGAGAACUGUUGAGAGAGGCCAUUGAGUUUAGAUUCUAGGAUUAAAGGAUUGGGAUAAUUGUCUAAUGAACACAGCCUAUAUUUGGAAAAGAGUAUUGGGUGGGUGAAACUAUAUGGGGCAAAAUAGAGAAUGCAUUUAACACUAGAGAGUUGAGAAAGUGUCAACUGGUUGUGGGCAUUGCUUUGAAUCAAGACAAUGUGGUUAUUUGAAUUUUUUUUUCAACAUGAGGAAGUAAUCCUUGUGAUGUAAGACAUCAAAGAGCUUGAUAGAUAGACUUUAUAGUGAAAAAAUGAAAGGGAGUAUAUUAGAUGAGAGUGCUUGAAAAUGAGAAUUGAAUGAGAUUUCUCCAUUACUUCAUUUAAGUUGCUUCAUGCUAGUGCUAUAUGGUCUAAAUUCACCAUGGCUUAGUAAAACCAAUUCAUGCUGUAGACUGAUGCAAUAUUCACUUUGGUAAACAAUCCAGAUGUUUGUUUUGUGUUGUUUGUUUUGCUAAUAUAUUUUCACAUGUUCUUUAGGGUUCCUUACAUGCAGUAAUCAUUUCCUAGUUUCUAUAUACUUUGACUAGAAAUAAAUUAGUUAGUGAGUUUUAAAGAGUCGCUCUCUGAGUACAAAAGAACAUUUUUUGCAUCCUGAGUCCGAUCAUGCCAACUAAUUUGUUCAAGUGACAUUGAACCACUUCUAUGAUAAAAAGGACAUCAUAUGCAAAAAAAUUGGUUGACGGCCUGCCAUAGAACUUUACAAAAAUGCUCUUUAAACCUACAUCCUCUUUUAUGUAUGCAAUUGAAUAUUAGAAUUUCAGUGUGAGCAUUGUCAAUGUUAGGGAAAUUCAAAAAUGCAUUAAAGAAAUAAUAUUCAUAGCUACAAUGUGAAAUAUCAGGUUAUAAUGAGAGAAAUCUAUCGAUUAUCCUGUUUUUUAAAUUCUAAGUUAAACUUAGUUUAUCUUCACUCAAAAUCUCUCUUUUUUUCAUUUUUGAAUGAAAUCAGCAAAAGUUGAAGAGAGCCAACCACCAUAAUUAUGGUUUGCAUCAUUUUACCUUUGCUCUUACAUUCUUAAAAAUGGUUAGCUAAGAAGUAAGAAUGGUGCAGCAUUUUUAUCCGUUAACAUGAAAAGAAAAUGAAUUUGGUUAUGUCAUUACCCAGCAUCUGCUUUGUUUUUUAUUUUAAUCAAGAAUCUUGUUGGAAGGAAGAAUUAUAUUUAUAGCAAUGUAGACUCUUGUUUGAAAAUAAAAUCGGCGUUAUUGUAUCGGGAAUUGCUGAAUUAGUGACCUUAGUAUUUAAGAGGCUUGUAGUCUUGCACUGAUUUCAAGCAAACUGGAUAUUUUUGCCCUUCAAAUUUAUUCUUUCUCCAAUAACAUAAUUAUAUAUCCAAAAGAAAAACAAUUUGUUGAUCAUAUGUCACUGACGUCCAAGCUCCUACUAGCAUACAAGGAAGCCUUCCAAUACAUUGCAGCUGAAGAUGACUAAGAUGUAUAUCAGCCACAACUAUCAAAUUUUUAUUACCAAGAUAGUCUUUUCAUAAUCAACUCCCAUGAUAUUCUAAUUGUAACGACUGUUCAUAAAUUUAUGAUUUUUUAAUGAAAUUUAUUUGCUGUAGAUCGAUUUCUUACAAACAGUUUUUUAAAACCCUCAGUCAAAAUAAAUCAAAAUAAAAUAUGAAAAUAUGGAACUUCCUAAAAGGUUUUGUUUGGGGGGGGGGAUUAUAUACAUGGGUUGUUCAUUUCCAUCCACUCUUUUUGCAUCUACUUACUCUGUUCUACUUAAAUGCAAUCCUACCUGAGACCUAAGACUCAAUCUCCAUAGUUUAUGUUUUACAUAAGAUCCAGUGGACUUCUAGAUUUCUUAGAUCAAUCUAAUCUAAUAAUCCUACCUAUCCAUCUUAAGUUGGCUUUUAUUUGGGGAGCUUGUGCCUUGCUUGAGGUGUUCGUCCUUGAAGUGUAGAUCCACAAGAAGAAAUAAUUAGAGAACCUAAAUAAAUAAGUCCGCACACAUGUGCACACGCACACACAUGCGCAUAGCCACACACAGAUACAAAAAAAAAAGGAUGAAUUAGUGAUCAGAGAGAUAAGUUCCCUGAACUGCUAUUUGGAUAGCCCUUUUUACAGAAAGAAAACUAUAACCUUGACCUUGGCCAACAAAAAUUCUCCCAAUUAUAUGGGUUGCCUUUAUGGAUCAAGGCCUGAUCUACUACUACUAAAAGUUUAUGACCAACUUUGAACUUGAUACUAAUUUCCUACGAGGAUUUGUACCAGUUUCCCUGCUAAGAGAACCUGGGCAAAAAGGGAACUGACAGCUAAACUUGAAAGGCUAGCCGGCAUGUCAAGAGACCUAGCUUAUUAUUUCAGCAGUCAAGCUCAUGUAACGGCGCAGCAACCCUUCAAAUUUCAAUGUAUGAGAGGAAAGAAGGCAAGGUCAAUUAUGGGGUGCCACAUCCAUC